CAAGUUAAAGCUUUUGAUAGCAUUUUAGUUACAUUAAAAAGGAAUAUUAAGGAUUUAAUAUAGCUUG
rnacentral:tRNA from 1 species